UUUUCAAUUCAAGAGCAGGUACUGUUUAUUAACUGACCAGAUUAGAAAAAUAAUCAUGGUAGACAUCUUCAUUUAUUCUUCUAAGAAGGCUGUUGAUCUGGUCCCCCCUGUUGUCAGCAUUUCCACCUUCUACAAAAUGGGUGGUCUUUUUCUUCAUUCCACCUUCUGGAGAGGAUGGUUUGGAGGGCCACAGGAAGUUACUUGCUUGUUUGAAGCAUUUUCCAACAGUAUAGAUCUCAUGAAUCAGAUCUUCCGUGCAGAUGAUACCAUAUUUACCAAGAGAUUGAGCAAUCAAAGUGUUACCUGUCAAAGCAAUUCGCUUCUUAUUGAUUUUGCCAUAACCACACUUACAGAUUAGUUCAUUUACUGACUUCAGAUUUGGCUACCCACAUGCAAUAUAUGGUUCUACAAUCCUCAGCAUGUUAAUUGAAGAUGUGUUGAGCUUCACAAAGGUUCCAUUGAAGAUUUUAUUUAUUUAUUUAUUUAGAGAUGGAGUCUCGCUCUGUCACCCAGGCUGGAGUGCAGUGGUGCAAUCUCGGCUCACUGCAAGCUCCACUUCCCGGGUUCACGCCAUUCUCCUGCCUCAGCCUCCUGAGUAGUUGGGAUUACAGGCGUGUACCACCACACCUGGCUAAAUUUGGGAUUUUUAGUAGAGACAGUGUUUCGCCGUGUUGGUGAGGCUGGUCUCGAACUCCUGACCUCAGAUGAUCCACCCACGUCGGCCUCCCAAAGUGUUGGGAUUAUAGGUGUGAGCCACUGUGCCUGGCAGGGUCUACAUUUUUAUCAGUUCUGGAAGAGCCAGGAUUUUGCCUUUAUUAGGUUUGCCAUUUCACCCGGUAGAAGGUGGAGAACUAAAUCCCAGGAGCUUUGGGGGUCCCUUCCUGCUCUGACUUUGGGUGGUUUUGCAAGGUUCACUCCCAGAGAAAGGGAAAGGUCCCAUUAUCACAUGGUGGUGUGAAUCGGAAUAAGACAACAGCAAAAAACAACUCCCACCAUCCCCCAACUUUUACUAUCUCUGGGGCCUCUUCUGAAUCUCUCUGCAGAGAGAGAUCAGGGAUGCCCCGAAAUUGAGAUUGUGGUCGAGGACUGAGACCAAGUUAUUCACAACAUGGUUAUAUAAUGGAUGCUCAGUCAUAUCAGGACUCAGAAGAUGUGAAGGGCCCCGCCCUGCAAGCUGUUUGAAGGUCAUGAUGGCUUCGCAGUGAUGGGAAACAAGGCCAGUGUCUCUGUUUGUGGGUUCCCUGCACCAAGGGUAUAAUUCACUGGGGCUCUUCCCACCAUGGCCUGGCCAUGUCUCCACCCACCCACCCACCACCUGACUCCUGGAGAAUGGGGGGGAAACUUUUAUACUUAAUUUUUUUUUGUCUUCUCCUCUUUUUCUGUGUUUUCUUCAAAUUUGUUAUAAGGGGGCAGCUUGGCAGAGGAAAUGUGGUAGUGGCCUGAGGCCUUGGGGCUGAAAGAGCCCGGGGUCUGAAAUCAUCAGAAUUGUCUCCAGAUGAAUUGAAACUGAGAUGGAAAGCAGCAUAUGACUCAUCGUGGGUAAGAAGCCACAGUCUUUUUUGUAUGAUUGUAACCCCCGGCCAAGUGAAAGCAGAAUGACCCCUGUCUCUUCUUUGGGGUCACACAGCUACUCAGGAGGGUGAGAGAAAAUGAUGUCUAUGAAGCACCUGCUAUGGGAUAGGCAUUCUAUCUAAACCUGUCCCAUUUAAACCUGACAAUGCACAGUGAGGGAGGUGUGAGUACCACCCCUGUUUUGUAGAUGUGGCUCAAGGAAGGUAAAGAACACAUCUUAGGGGAGAGGUUUCUGGUAGUCACUCUCCCUAGACCAGAGAGAAUAAGUAAUCCCUUGGUACCCUCCAUUUUUCAGCCCCUCUGCCUUAAAAAGUGUGUGCUAUAGAAGGGGAGGUGUCAUGUCCACUCUGCUCUGUGUCUUUAGGAAAAUCCCCUUUCCUCUCUGGUCUAUUUCUGCUUCUGUAAAAUAAAGUCUUUGGUAUGAGGUCUUUUUGUGCUCAAGGAUUCUAUAUUUCAUGCCCACUUCUUACUGCUCACUUUCAUUUUCCCUAGCUCCAGGAUAGGCCAUAUCACUUCCUGGAAAGUUCUGUCCAUUCCCAUGCUCCCAUGGACAACUGAGAGUGAGGACAUAAGGUGAUUGGGAUAAGAUCUUGAUAUUGUAGGAAAAAUGGUGAAUGACUUUGAAAUGGACCGAAAAGAUGACUGGGUGUCUUCAUCAGAAAACUAGGUGUUUCUAUGGGGCCUCUGGGCCUUUCGUUGCCUUUGAACUGUUUCAGAACUGUAAGUUGUAGAUGACUGAGAGUGAUGCAAAUGGUUCUUGUCCGUAGAUAUGCAAAUACAUUUUCUGGUGGUAAUACAAUUGUCUUACCACAUCUCCUGUGGAAUAAACCAGUUUUGCAUCUUUAUUCAUUUCAGUAUUUCUUGCUUGUGUAUAUGUGGUUCUUGGAAUUAUCCUUGCAACUAGAUGUGACGUCCUACUAGUUCUCUCACAAAUUAAUGAGCUAAAUCAUUGAUAUGCAAUUCUUUGAUAUUUCAGUGAGUGUUAUGAUUAUGUGCUCUUCUAGCAAUUAUCCUUUAAUGGUAUAUAGAACCCCAAAUCCCAGGCUCCAUGAGCAGCAGAGCAGCAGAGUGGCACAGCAGAGGAGAGAAGAAGCAUCUGAACGUGGUGAGGAGUUUGGCUAUGGACAGUCAGAAAGGAGUUCAUCCUGGGACGGCUGAACUCCAGGGGAAGAUUAUCUUCCCAUUGCAUCCCCUUUCCAGCUCCCUAUGCCACUGAAAGCCACCCUGUCACUCAAUAAAAACUCCGCAUUCAUCACCUUUCAAA